GAUGAAGAACGUAGCGAAAUGCGAUAAGUAAUGUGAAUUGCAGAAUUCAGUGAAUCAUCGAGUCUUUGAACGCACAUUGCGCCCCCUGGUAUUCCGGGGGGCAUGCCUGUCCGAGCGUCAUUGCUGCCCUCAAGCACGGCUUGUGUGUUGGGCUUCCGUCCCUGGCAACGGGGACGGGCCCAAAAGGCAGUGGCGGCACCAUGUCUGGUCCUCGAGCGUAUGGGGCUUUGUCACCCGCUCCCGUAGGUCCAGCUGGCAGCUAGCCUCGCAACCAAUCUUUUUAACCAGGUUGACCUCGGAUCAGGUAGGGAUACCCGCUGAACUUAAGCAUAUCAAUAAGCGGAGGA
rnacentral:misc_RNA from 1 species